GGGUCGGUACCAGAGUGGUCAAAUGGGGUGGACUGUAAAUCCACUGGCUCAGCCUUCGGAAGUUCGAAUCUUCCCCGGCCCACAA
rnacentral:tRNA from 1 species